UACGGGGGGAGCAAGCGUUGUUCGGAUUUACUGGGCGUAAAGGGCGCGUAGGCGGCCACCGCAAGUCGGUUGUGAAAUCUCUGGGCUUAACCCAGAAAGGUCAACCGAUACUGCGGGGCUAGAGUGCAGAAGGGGCAACUGGAAUUCUCGGUGUAGCGGUGAAAUGCGUAGGAUAUCGAGAGGAACACCUGCGGCGAAGGCGGGUUGCUGGG
rnacentral:rRNA from 1 species